rnacentral:rRNA from 1 species
UACGGAGGGGGCGAGCGUUAUUCGGAAUUAUUGGGCGUAAAGGGCGCGUAGGCGGCCCUGUAAGUCAAAGGUGAAAUCCCUCGGCUCAACUGAGGAACUGCCUUUGAAACUGCAGGGCUUGAGGCCGGGAGGGGGUAGCGGAAUUCCCAAUGUAGCGGUAAAAUGCGUAGAUAUUGGGAGGAACACCAGUGGCGAAGGCGGCUACCUGGACCGGUUCUGACGCUGAGGCGCGAAAGCGUGGGUAGCAAACAGG